rnacentral:rRNA from 1 species
ACAGUGGAUCUCUUGGUUCUCGCAACGAUGAAGAACGCAGCAAAAUGCGAUAAGUAAUGUGAAUUGCAGAAUACGUGAAUCAUCAAAUCUUCGAACGCAUAUUGCACUUUUCUAGUUUACUAGAAAAGUAUGUCUGUUUGAGU